rnacentral:rRNA from 1 species
AUGUGUCUAGUCAAUUUCACAUGUGCGUCCUUUGUAAUGAUGCGACGACAAAGGCGAUCUUGUUGUCACAUCAAAGGUAUCCAGUACCUAACUACCCAAUCCAUACAAUCCAAGUGGCUGGUCUUGAGCAUUCCACUUGUCCUUUUCUCUACUGCUAUGUUGAAACUUUGCACCAGAAUUGCUGACCAGGAAAACGUGAUGACCAGAAGCAUCUCAAAAUCUAAUCAAUUUGGUUUCUGCGAAGAAACGUCGAACUUUUGGAGUAGAUCGCUAUAUAAAAAGUCCCCUUUUGUAAUCUUCUCCCCGUAAGAUAGUCGGAAAGGAAGGGCUCGGCCAACACAUGGGCAACUGCAGCAGCUUCAGUCUUCCAAAAUGGAUAUUCGGUGAUCUGCACAACAAUGGCAUGGUUUCCAUUGAAGGGGAUGGAACUCAUGAAGGCAUAAAGACGAUCCGGAUUCAGAAAGCUUGCGAGUUCACAGCCAGCUCCGUGCUUUGUGUCUGCAUUAUCACAUGGAACAUGAAUGGCAAGAUGUCUGUGGAGGACAUAAGAAAGCUGGUGAGCUCCACCAGGAAGUUCGACUUGCUGGUUGUGGGGCUGCAAGAAGUCCCGAAAUGUGGCGUCGAACAAGUUCUGCAAGAAGCCAUGGCUGAUACACACAUCUUGUUAUGCCAGAAGGCCAUGCAGUCUAUUCAGAUGUUUCUUUUCGGGGCAAAGAGUUCGGAAGCGUACAUCAAAGGUGAUCAUGUUAUUAUAUAGCUGAAUAUUCUUGGUGUUGAAAGAGCACUUCUAAUCUGAUCAAAUAAGUCCUGUUUAAAUACCUGAAUUUGGUCAGAAAUGAAGGUGGAUGAACACGCAGUCGGAGGCUGCGGUGGCGUAAUUGGGAGGAAGAAAGGAGCUGUGGCCAUGUACGUAAACUUUAGUGGGAUCCGGAUGGUGUUUGUGUCCUGCCAUCUUGCAGCCCAUGAACGCAAGGUGGAGAAGAGGAACUCUGAAUGCCGGCAUAUUUCGCACUCGCUGUUCUCCAAGAAUGACAUACAUUAUGCCAAAUCUGCCGACAUAACAGUGUGGCUCGGUGACUUGAAUUACAGAUUAGAAGGAAUAAGCUCGAUGCCAGCAAGGAAAAUGAUCGAGGAGAAUCGCCAGAGUAAGCUAAGAGACAGAGACCAGCUGCUGCAAGAAGCUGAGAAGGGUCAAGUCUUCCAUGGGUACUGUGAAGGGACCUUGUCUUUUAAGCCAACAUACAAAUAUAAUGUCGGAAGUAGCAACUACGAUUCAAGUUACAAGAUCAGAGUGCCAUCUUGGACAGAUAGGAUAUUGUUCAAGGUUGACCAUUCUUCUGGCUUGGAUGCGGUGUUAAGUUCAUAUGAAGCACUUGACUGUGUUAGCAGCUCUGAUCACAAGCCUGUGAAAGCUCAUCUUUGUCUGAAAGUAUGUGGUGGUGAUUCAUAGAUUUAUGUUACAAUUGACAAUCACAAGUAUAUUUAGAUGACUUAUUUUUUUGUAACAACAAUUGUAAAGGCAAAUAGCACAGAUCAUUAUCUAUCCUCUGAAAAUGAUUUCGCUAAAUGUAAUUUGGUAAAGUCAAAAUGUCGACCGUAUGUUCAUGUUGUUGUUGUUGUUGUUGUUGUUGUUGUUGUUGUUGUGUACCCUCUUGAUUUUAUAUGGUGACG